GCCGGUAUGGCGGAAUAGGCAGACGCUCAGGACUUAAAAUCCUGUGACCAGUGAUGGUCGUGUCGGUUCGACCCCGACUACCGGCA
rnacentral:tRNA from 1 species